rfam:Clostridiales sp. SS3/4 draft genome.
UGAAAGUGUUGUUAAGCGGAUGACCAGACUGCGUACUUGCGCGCAAGGAUGGGCAGACAUUUGACAGCCAAGCCGAUAUAAGUAAGCAGGGCGAUAGCCCGGAUUACGAAUUUUGGCGGCAAUUGUGGGAGUGACUUAGUCAUGGAACAAUUGCCUUUCA